rnacentral:rRNA from 1 species
GUAAACUCAAAACGACUCUCGGCAACGGAUAUCUCGGCUCACGCAUCGAUGAAGAACGUAGCAAAAUGCGAUACUUGGUGUGAAUUGCAGAAUCCCGUGAACCAUCGAGUUUUUGAACGCAAGUUGCGCCCGAUGCCAUCUGGUUGAGGGCACGUCUGCCUGGGCGUC